rnacentral:rRNA from 1 species
UGCUUAAAGAUUAAAUUCGAUUUUAAGUAAGCUCUGCCCGGUGAGAACAUGUGACUUUAACGGCCGCAGUACUUUGACUGUGCUAAGGUAGCAUAAUAACUUGUCCUUUAAUUGGGGUCUAGGAUGAACGAGAUCACAUAGGUAGAAUUGUUUCUUUGGAGAUUGCCUUAACUUAAUUAUAAAGUGAAAAUUCUUUAGGGUAUGACAAAAGACGAGAAGACCCUUAGAGUUUUUACGAUUACUAUAAAAGUUCAUGUAUAGGUCAGUUUUCGCUGGGGCGGCGUGAUAGCAGAAUGAAUAACUCACUAGUUAACCUAUCUAUAUUCGACUUAUAUAAACAGAGAGUGUUUUAAAUAUAACUAAACUACCUGAGGGAUAACAGCAUAAUCUACUAUUAGGAUUGUGACCUCGAUGUUGGACUAGGGUCAGAAUGACUAGCCGUCAAGAUUUUGAUAGUUCUGUUCGAACUAGCCACCCU